rnacentral:lncRNA from 1 species
UUAAUUAGUUCUGCUACUAUAUAUUUUAAGAGUCCCAUAUAUUUUAAAAAGUCUAGUUAAUAUAAUAAAAAAUAAUUAAAUAAUAAAUUACAAAAAAAUAAAAAAUAAUUUUGUCUGAAGAAAAAUCUUUUAAUAAAGGCUAAAAGUUCAAAUCACAUUUCUAGGAAUUUUCACACUUUUAAUAUAUUAUAAAUAUAGAUUUUAGAUUGCAAUCAACCAACAAGUCACAUUUUAUUGAAGAAAACAAAAAUAAAUAAGAGCACAAGCAAUGGAAUGACAAUAAAUUCAAAAAGAAAAAUACUUAAAAUAAAUAGCUCGAAAGAUGGGCUUAAGUCCGAAACAAAAAAAAAUCAUAAAAAAUAAAAGGACCUUUCAGAAGCUCUGUUGGAAUUAGGAAGGUAAACAUCUCUUCACUUCUCAAUCUUCCAUAGAAGCACUGAUAAUUUUUCUUUAGAUUGUUUCAGCGCCCUUCAUUUUUUGCUUUCGUUUUACGUUUUCGUUCUUCUUUCAGAUACAUGUAUCCUUUACUUUGAUAUUUUUUUUCCUCUUUCUUGUAGCUUUAGCCUCAAAACACAGAUAGUGUGCUCUUUUUUUAAUUCCCCCCACCCCCCCACCCCCUCCCUCCAUCAGAUCCAAGACAACCAGCUCGACAAUAGCUUUCAAUUUUCAAUUGCAGCUAGAUCUAUUCCAGAUCUGGUGAUCCUUGCCUCUGACACGAGCUGAGGGGGAGAUUUUAUGAAAAUUUUUAUUGAGGAAUGAGUUGCGUCGCUGCAUUUGAGGUUUAUAUACUUAGUAGAUAAUAUUAUACAUUUUUUUUAUAAUUUUGUAUAUUAUUGCAUAAUGAUGUAUAAUGUUAUAUACAUUUGUAUAGUAAUAUACAUAAUUAUACAAAUAUAUACAUACGUAUGUAUCAUGUUUAAACAUGUAUCUACAUUGUAUAAGUGUGUAUAAAAUGGAUAGGAAAAAGAAAGUCACCAAAAAAAUGACUCUUAUUGUAUAUACAGCAAUAUAUAAAUUUGUACAUUGUUAUUAUACAAAAUAGAGGGUUUCGUCUUAUUCCUCGAACUCAAUACAACAACAAUAUACUCAGUGUAUUCCCACCUAAUGGGGUUUGGGGAGGGUAGAGUGUAUGCGGACCAUACCACUACUUCAAGAGAAGUAAAGAGGUUGUUUCCGAUAGACCUCCGACUUAGGACCAAUAACAGUAUAACCAAUACAAAAAGUAAGUGCAUAUAAACUAGUAUGGUACACAAAACAAACUAAGAGUAUAACAAACACAAAAGAUAAGUGUAUAAUAAACUAGUACAGGAUGUAAAAAAGCCAACACCACUAGCCCUAAAAACUACAGCCACAACACUACGAACUAGAAACUCAGUGUCAGAUGAGUCAUUGAUUUAGUAUCUCAGUGUCAGUACUGAGUUCAGUCUGCAAUAAAGUGGUAUCUUGGUUUCAGUAUCUAGCGUUGCAAUAAUUGUGUUCAUGUUCUGUGCAUUCAUGUAUAUGUUCUCGUGCAACAUUUUCAUGACUAUUCAGUUUACAUAUUGUGCAUGCAUGAGCCUUUGCAUUUAGCCUUACCUUAUUUAUAUACUCGAUAAAAUUUUAUACUGACACAUUUGCGCUAUGGUUUUUUAUUUGACACCAUAGUUUCAGAGGCAUAGGAUUCAAAGCUUCCUUAGCAGUUCAGUCCCAGUUAGCAGCAGUAGUAGUGAGUCCUAUUCCUUCGAGGACGAAUCUCAGUUUACUAUUAAUGCAUCAGAUUUGGUUUAUAUUCUCAGUGGACAGAGUUAGUUGGGGACAUGUCCCAUCAACUCCAUAGUUCAGAUAGUUUAGAGGCUUUUUAGACAGAUGUUGAUGUAAUAGUAUUCAGUUUUCAGUUUGAGUAUGUAUAGAUCUGUUGAACCCUAUGGCUAGUUUCCACAUUUAUUUCAGAUAUUAUGCAGUGUACAGGUACAGAUAUCAGUAAAGGAUUAGCUUGUGGUCCUUCGGGUCCAUAAGCACCAUGUGAUGUCACGAGAUGGGAUCUCGGGGCAUUACAUCAUUAUAGUAUGAAUAUAAUAUUAUUAGUUUAUGAUGGGAUUUUGGUCUUGGAGGUAUAUUUAGUAUGGAUUGUAUCUUGUAUCCGAUUAAGAAAUCAUAAUUAAGCAUACUUGGCAUGAUUGCUUGUUCUUAAGGGAGAUUUUCUAUAUUAGGACUAAAUUAUGGCUUAUUUAAUAUCUAGUAGUGCAAUUAGAUACCUUCUCCUAGUUUGGGGGAAAUUUACCUUAGAAUGAAUUUCAGAAAUAGGAGUGGGACCCUCCGACCCACUUAAGGCCAAGAUUGGCAUUAACUUCGUGUAGGACCUAUAUGCCUUGCGCAUUAUUUAAUAUACAUUUUUUAGUCUAAUGAGAUUUAUUUUCAUGAUUCUUUCUUCUAGUUUGGUACCUGGGAGAUGGUAUGAGUUCUGGUUCAAGUCCGGCAAAUGAUGAUAUGAGUAUUGGUUCAAGUUCAGUAAAUAAUGAUGUGAGUUUUGGUUUAAGUCGGGUUCAUUCAACUCAUUCUACAUAAUUUCACAUUCAAAACCAAUUUGCAUUAUGUAAUCAUACAUAGCACUUACCAAGUACAUCUCAUUUAUUCCUAAUAACAAAAAAUUUAGAAAAAUUACUCCUAAAAAUUCAAAAGGGAUAACGGGUUCAAAAGGCUCCCCCUAGAAAAAGAACCAAAAAGAACAACCAAGGGGUGGGUGAAAUGUGAUACAACUAGACAGAUACCAACAAACAUUGAAAAUUGACAAUAAUCAAAUUUAAAUUCUUUUUGCAAUUUUUUUUUAAAUUUUGUCAAAACUGGAAAAUGUCUAAAAAUUGAAAUCCCAUAACUUUACCAUGAACAAUCAGAAGAUUUCCUACCCUACACUUAAAAUCACACUUCAUCCCCAAAUUAUAAAUUAAAAGUAAGGAUAGAAAUACUCCCUGAGGCCUCUAAGACUAGCUA